rnacentral:rRNA from 1 species
CCUACGGGAGGCAGCAGUCGAGAAUCAUUCACAAUGGGGGCAACCCUGAUGGUGCGACGCCGCGUGGGGGAAUGAAGGUCUUCGGAUUGUAAACCCCUGUCAUGUGGGAGCAAAUUAAAAAGAUAGUACCACAAGAGGAAGAGACGGCGAACUCUGUGCCAGCAGCCGCGGUAAUACGGAGGAUGCGAGCGUUAUCCGGAUUUAUUGGGUUUAAAGGGUGCGUAGGCGGAAUGCAAAGUCAGCGGUAAAAUCGCGGGGCUAAACCUCGCUCCGCCGUUGAAACUGGCGUUCUUGAGUGGGCGAGAGGUAUGUGGAAUGCGUGGUGUAGCGGUGAAAUGCGUAGAUAUCACGAAGAACACCGAUUGCGAAGGCAGCAUACCGGCGCAAAACUGACGCUGAGGCACGAAAGCGUGGGUAUCGAACAGGAUUAGAUACCCCUGUAGUC